AAGCAUUCAGGAAAAGAACAUUACAUGGUGUUUUUGGCAGAUGCUGUGAGAAGCCCAAUCUCAGCUACUUCUCUGCUAACAGAAUCAUGAUUUUGUUUAAGAAAACACUCUGUCCCACCUCAAGGAAUGGAUCAUUGUUGGUUUAAGUCAAUCUUGGCACUCUUUCGCCUUUACUAAUCAGCCUUUUUCUCAGCUUCCCUUGCAUCUACAGGUAGCCAUGAGACCCAGUUCUGUCCAAUAAUAUGUAUACAAAAGUCUGGGAGAGGAUGGGAAAUAAUUUGCGUUUAAUAAAAGAUACAAAUGAGUGAAGAGAGCUUGCUAGUGCUACCCCUUAUUCGUUCUUCCUGCCUUGGACAGAGAUGUGAAGUCUAGAACUAUAGCUUCCAUUUUGUGAUAGUGAGGCAACAAGCAUGAGGCCAUGAAGCAAACGGUUAAGAAUGGUGAAAUGCAUAGAAAGAUACUGAAUCUUUAAUGACAUCGUUGAGCUGACGAACUAGCUCAGGAACCAUCUACCUGUAAAAGUCUUGUUGGGGGUGGUAAUAAAUGUCUGUAUGUCUUAGCCACUAUUGAUCUGGUAUUCUGUCACCUAGGGACCAAAGCAUCCUAACUGAUACAAUACUGGUAUGAGACCUAAUUAUAUCACUUGCUCUAGGAAUUCUUAUUAAUUAAGCUACAGUUGUGAGUGUUCAUAUUAUGCUAGGCAAUUUUGAAUUUUUUUUUUUACUGUACUUUAGAUGAAGUUUUACAGAACAAACUAGUUUCUCAGUAAACAGUGCACAUAUUUUUUUAUGACAUUGGUUAACACCACAACAUGUUAACACUCUCCCUUCUCAACCCCGGGUUCCCUAUUACCAGUUUUCCUGUUCCCUCCUGCCUUCCUGUCACUGUCCCAGGGCUGGUGCACUCCUUUAGUCUUGUUUUGUUCCAUGGGUCUGUUCAAUCUUUGGCUGAAGGGUGAACUGCAGGAGUGACCUCAUUACUGAGCUGAAAGGGUGUCCGGGGGCCAUACUCUCAGGGUUUCUCUGGUCUCUGUCAGGCCAGCAAGUCUGCUCUUUCUUUCUGAGUUAGAAUUUUGUUCUACAUUUCCCUCCAACUCUGUCUGGCAUCCUCUAUUGUGAUCCCUGUCACAGCAGACAGUGGUGGUAGCCAGGCACCAUCUAGUUGUACUGGACUCAGCCUGGUGGAGGCCAUGGUAGAUGUGGUCCACUAGUCCUUUGGGUUAAUACUUCCCUUGUAUCCUUAGUUUUCUUCAUUCUUGCUUUCUCCCAAAGGGGUGAGACCAGUGGAGUAUCUUAGGUGGCUGCUCACAGGCUUUUAAGAUCCCAGAUGCUACUCACAAAAGUAGAAUGUAGAACAUAUUCUUUAUAAACUGUGUUAUGCCAAAUGGCCUAGAUAUUCCCCAAGAUCAUGGUCCCCACAAACCUCAGCCCAGCAAUUCAGUCUCUCAGGGAGCUUGGAUGUGUCCAUGGAACUACCAAGACCUUGCCUUGCACUGGCUUCCCCAGUAUUGUGUACAGUCUUACCCUUCACCAAAGUUACCACUUAUCUAUUGUCUAUUUAGUGUUUUUCCAUCCCCACCCCUCACCUCCCUCGUAAACAUCAAAGGUUGUUUCUUUUUGUAUGCGAACCUUGUCAUAAGUAUUUACGAUAGUGGUCUCAUGUAAUAUUUGUCCUUUUGUGAUUGACUUACUUCACUCAGCAUAAUGUCCUCCAGAUGCAACCACCUUAUGAAACGCUUCACAGAUUCAUCGAUGUUCUUUAUUGUUGCAUAAUAUUUCAUUGUGUGCAUGUACCAUGGCUUGUGUAACCAUUCAUCUGAGGAUGGGCAUCUAGGUUGUUUCCACCUUUUUGCAAUUGUGAACAAUGCUGCAAUGAACAUGGGUGUGCCUAUGUCUGUCUGUGUGACGACUCUUACUUCUCUAGGAUGUAUUCCUAGGAGUGGGAUUGCUGGAUCAUACGGUAGUUCUAUUUCUAGCUUUCUAAUGAACUAUCAUUUUCCAAAAUUGUAUCAUUUUGCAUUCCCACCAGCAGUGCAUAAGUGUUCCAAUCUUCCCACAGCCUCUCCAACACAUGUUAUUUCCUGUUUUACUGAUUCGUGCCAGUAAUGCCAUAGUGAGAUGGUGCUGGAGCUCCAGCAGUACACAAGAUGAAGAAGGUCAUGGCCCUCCUGGAGCUGACAUUCGAAUGGUGUAAUAGAAUUAUGGCAAGCACAUGGGAACAGAAAUCGGACUACCCGCAUUUUAAGCCUGCUCUACUGCACCUCAGCUGUGUGACCUUGGGUAUCCACUUAAGGCAAAAAUACAUAACUAAUACAGAAGCCAAAAUGAAGAAGACACAGAGCACUGGAGAGAAGAGCAAAGGAGGUGAAAGAAGUAGAGGACUAAGAGGGGAGGGACUUCCUGUAUGCCCAUCUGAGGCAUCUCCCCUAUCCUUGUAAAUAUCCUCAGUGACCCAGGUGAAACUCCAGCAGCCCUAUGACUUUUCUGAUCACUCUUAGGUAAUAAAAGUUCUAUCAUUAUCUUAAAUAGCAAACUUUGUUUCAUUUUGGUAGUUGUGAUACCUGAUGUCGUUGUUAUGCAGUUAGUUGCCAUCAAGUCAGCUAUGACUCAUGACAACCUUAUGUAUAAAACCAAAGCCAAACCUGUUGCUGUAGAGUAGAUUCCAAUUCAUAGCAACCCUAUAGGACAGAGUAGAACUGCCCUGUAGGGUUUCCAAGGAGUAGAUGGUGGAUUCAAACUGCUGGC